rnacentral:rRNA from 1 species
CCCUUAGAUGUUCUGGGCCGCACGCGCGCUACACUGAUGCAUUCAACGAGCCUAUCCUUGACCGUCAGGUCCGGGUAAUCUUUGAAUCUGCAUCGUGACGGGGAUAGAUUAUUGCAAUUAUUAAUCUUCAACGAGGAAUGCCUAGUAGGCGCAAGUCAUCAGCUUGCGUCGAUUACGUCCCUGCCCUUUGUACACACCGCCCGUCGCUCCUACCGAUUGGGUGUGCUGGUGAAAUGUUCGGAUCGGCCGUUUGUCGCGGUUUCCGCGGCUCGUGGCUGAGAAGUUCAUUAAACCCUCCCACCUAGAGGAAGGAGAAGUCGUAACA